AUGGAUUAGACUGUAGUGCCAUGUGAGUACCAUGUAUCUGGGGUAAAGUAGGGAUGGAUUAGACUGUAGUGUCAUGUAGUGUCAUGUAUCUGGGAUAAAGUAGGGAUGGAUUAGACUGUAGUGUCAUGUAGUGUCAUGUAUCUGGGGUAAAGUAGGGAUGGAUUAGACUGUAGUGCCAUGUAUCUGGGGUAAAGUAGGGAUGGAUUAGACUGUGGUGUCAUGUAGUGCCAUGUAUCUGGGGUAAAGUAGGGAUGGAUUAGACUGUAGUGCCAUGUAUCUGGGGUAAAGUAGGGAUGGAUUAGACUGUAGUGCCAUGUAGUGCCAUGUAUCUGGGGUAAAGUAGGGAUGGAUUAGACUGUAGUGUCAUGUAGUGUCAUGUAUCUGGGGUAAGGUAGGGAUGGAUUAGACUGUAGUGUCAUGUAUCUGGGGUAAGGUAGGGAUGGAUUAGACUGUAGUGCCAUGUAUCUGGGGUAAAGUAGGGAUGGAUUAGACUGUAGUGCCAUGUAUCUGGGGUAAGGUAGGGAUGGAUUAGACUGUAGUGUCAUGUAUCUGGGGUAAAGUAGGGAUGGAUUAGACUGUAGUGUCAUGUAGUGCCAUGUAUCUGGGGUAAGGUAGGGAUGGAUUAGACUGUAGUGUCAUGUAUCUGGGGUAAAGUAGGGAUGGAUUAGACUGUAGUGUCACGUAGUGCCAUGUAUCUGGGGUAAAGUAGGGAUGGAUUAGACUGUAGUGCCAUGUAUCUGGGGUAAAGUAGGGAUGGAUUAGACUGUAGUGCCAUGUAUCUGGGGUAAAGUAGGGAUGGAUUAGACUGUAGUGCCAUGUAUCUGGGGUAAAGUAGGGAUGGAUUAGACUGUAGUGUCAUGUAUCUGGGGUAAAGUAGGGAUGGAUUAGACUGUAGUGUCAUGUAUCUGGGGUAAAGUAGGGAUGGAUUAGACUGUAGUGCCAUGUAUCUGGGGUAAAGUAGGGAUGGAUUAGACUGUAGUACCAUGUAUCUGGGGUAAAGUAGUGAUGGAUUAGACUGUAGUGUCAUGUAUCUGGGGUAAAGUAGGGAUGGAUUAGACUGUAGUGUCAUGUAGUGCCAUGUAUCUGGGGUAAAGUAGGGAUGGAUUAGACUGUAGUGUCAUGUAUCUGGGGUAAAGUAGGGAUGGAUUAGACUGUAGUGUCAUGUAUCUGGGGUAAAGUAGGGAUGGAUUAGACUGUAGUGUCAUGUAUCUGGGGUAAAGUAGGGAUGGAUUAGACUGUAGUGCCAUGUAUCUGGGGUAAAGUAGGGAUGGAUUAGACUGUAGUGUCAUGUAUCUGGGGUAAAGUAGGGAUGGAUUAGACUGUAGUGUCACGUAUCUGGGGUAAAGUAGGGAUGGAUUAGACUGUAGUGCCAUGUAUCUGGGGUAAAGUAGGGAUGGAUUAGACUGUAGUGCCAUGUAUCUGGGGUAAAGUAGGGAUGGAUUAGACUGUAGUGCCAUGUAUCUGGGGUAAAGUAGGGAUGGAUUAGACUGUAGUGCCAUGUAUCUGGGGUAAGGUAGGGAUGGAUUAGACUGUAGUGUCAUGUAUCUGGGGUAAAGUAGUGAUGGAUUAGACUGUAGUGCCAUGUAUCUGGGGUAAAGUAGGGAUGGAUUAGACUGUAGUGUCACGUAUCUGGGGUAAAGUAGGGAUGGAUUAGACUGUAGUGCCAUGUAUCUGGGGUAAAGUAGCGAUGGAUUAGACUGUAGUGUCAUGUAUCUGGGGUAAAGUAGGGAUGGAUUAGACUGUAGUGUCAUGUAUCUGGGGUAAAGUAGGGAUGGAUUAGACUGUAGUGUCACGUAGUGCCAUGUAUCUGGGGUAAAGUAGGGAUGGAUUAGACUGUAGUGCCAUGUAUCUGGGGUAAAGUAGGGAUGGAUUAGACUGUAGUGUCAUGUAUCUGGGGUAAAGUAGGGAUGGAUUAGACUGUAGUGUCAUGUAUCUGGGGUAAAGUAGGGAUGGAUUAGACUGUAGUGUCAUGUAUCUGGGGUAAAGUAGGGAUGGAUUAGACUGUAGUGUCAUGUAUCUGGGGUAAAGUAGGGAUGGAUUAGACUGUAGUGCCAUGUAUCUGGGGUAAAGUAGGGAUGGAUUAGACUGUAGUGUCAUGUAUCUGGGGUAAAGUAGGGAUGGAUUAGACUGUAGUGCCAUGUAUCUGGGGUAAAGUAGGGAUGGAUUAGACUGUAUUGUGACAUA